AUUUUAGUCUUUAAUUUUUGUCAAGUUUUAUUCAUCGUUCUGUUCAAAAUCGUAUGAUGAAUUUAUUACCAUUUUUAUUGUCAAAUUCUCAAUCUAAGAAGUUAUCAUAUGGAUUAACUUCAAAAUCUUGCAAUUCCACCUUAGUAAGUGUUAUAUUUGUUCUAUUGAAUGAUUGAAUCGAUGAAUUAGGGUUUUCUAUACAAGUUAUCUUUUGGCGAGGAAUUAUUUGGUUGAUUUCCUCUAUUUUGUCUAGAAUAUAUAUUGAUCAUUGCUUUAGCACAUGCAGUAGAUAUACUACCUCUGUUUUUUUUUAGUUGCAACGUUUGAUUAUUAUAAUUUAUUCACCAGAAAGGCAAAUGUUGCAUAUAAAAAAACGGAGAAAGUUUUUAAACUUAUAGUGGACAUUGAGCUUGGUGCAUGAUUAUUAUUGAAGCUAAUUUGUUACAAUUCUUUAACAAUGGUAAGAGGUGAUGAGUAGUUCCGGAUCCGUGCAUUUGUAUCAUAUCAAAAUUUCCAAUUAGUUCCACUCUCUUCAAGCAUAAUUUAGGGUUUCGAUUGUCUAGAGAAAUGUUUGAUCGUUUGCUUUCUUUUGCGUAGUGCUAAAUUGGGCAUCAAAUCUUUGUUAUCAUUUAUCUAUCACAUGAAUUGUAGAAUUUUUAUAUUUGAGGAACAUUGCCUGCUUACAAAUUUUAUAUCUUGAUUGUUUUUUUUCUUUAAUUUAGGGGGGUAGUACUAAAUAUGUAAAAUCUCAUUGUAUUGAACGAUUCCGGUUGCUUUAUUUGUGCCCCCGCCCCUUUCUCAUACUCAAUUGGUUUUUUUAGCUGAUUCAGGAAAAGUUGAGUAUUGUAUGUUUUGAGGGUGUAGCAAAUGGCUGCUGCACUAUUGUAGGAACUAUACGUUCCAGAAGGUAUCCUGCGGCCUUUGGUGAAGGUUUCGAGUUCAUCAGAUAUUGCAUCCUAGCAUAUACUCAGAGAUGUAUUACAGUCACUCUCUGAUAAAUCAGCAAUGUCUGUCUCUUGGACUUUUUUAAAAACCUUUGCGUAUAAGAGUUAGUAAUACAGAACUUGUUCGUUGAACAUAGUGCUACCAGUGUCAUUUCAAGUGCAAUCAAUGCUGUGGGGUUUGAUUCUGAUGAUUCAGAAUGUGCAUAUAGGCAACUACACAUACAUUCUUACAUUCUUAGAGGUGGUAAGAGAUGCUUCACUGGCCGGGAGAAGUAAUGUGUGCAAUAGAGAGCCAGAUUAUGUCUGGUUGUUUCUUAAAUUUGCUAGAAUUCACAAGAGGGAAAGAUGUGAUCCUUGUGUGAUUAUUUAUACUUGUGUUCUGAGCUUUGUAGAAAUCCAGAAUUGGCUAUUAUGGUGGGAACUAUCUGGACAGCCUCAGAAUGACUUUAUUUUUCAUUCAAAAUUCUUUAUAUUUACAUGCUUAUAGUUUAAUUUGUGUUCUUUUUCAACAUCUCUAGCAGUUGGCUUUGGAGAAGAUUGGCUAAAGUUACUUUCAAGAAAAUGUUUCAAGGAAUCUCAUUUCCUGCAUCAAAUAAUAUGUUCAAAUGGUGGCCAUAAUCUGGGAGAUACUGAAGGCAUAUUUAAAAAUGAUGUCAAAGCUGUUUAAUGUUACACUAGGAGAAUGUAUGGUCUCCCCGCAGUCCCUCCUUCCAUUGAAGUCCUCGGAUAUUCAUUCACUAUUUCAAGGGAUGCAUGUGCACAUGGUAGUUCAGUGGUUGUUUAUACUGAAGAAGGUGUGGAUUCAUUGGUAUCAAAGGGGCCUCUUGGAGAUGCUUUCAUCUCUUCUUCUGUCCUUGUCCUUGAGAUCAAUACCAUCAUCAAACAGGAAAACCAUAAUAUGGGCGAGAUUCAAGGUAACUAUCAGGUCAUCAAAGGUGUGUGCACUCAAGGCUCUCGAAGAGACAUUGCUGCAGAUUGCUUGUAUGGAAGGAUGUACAAACAGAAGCGAGAGCAAAUGAUGGGACCAUUCUCCUGUUACAGCAAUGCAUUCUUAAUGAAGACAUUUCAGUCUUAAGGGAAUGGUGCAUAUGGUGUGCAAGUGCUAGCAAAUUGAUGCAAAGUAUAGUAUAAAACAAGCAGCGAGUGGCUGACUUCGAGAUUUCUGAAUUAGCUGAGCUAGGAUUCUGAGUGAAAGUAGACCUAGAAUGCUAAGCUUCUAGAUAUCAACCGACGUACAUGUGCUAUCAAAGUGAAAGGGUAUGCUAUGCCUUACAAUGGUGUAUUUGUCCUGCAAUUUCAUGAUAUAUUAAGUAUUAACCACUUAUUCCUUAUAAA